rnacentral:rRNA from 1 species
GGCGGCGUGCUUAACACAUGCAAGUCGAACGGAAAGGCCCUUCGGGGGUACUCGAGUGGCGAACGGGUGAGUAACACGUGGGUGAUCUGCCCUGCACUUUGGGAUAAGCCUGGGAAACUGGGUCUAAUACCGAAUAGGACUCCGGACUGCAUGGUCUGGGGUGGAAAGCUUUUGCGGUGUGGGAUGGGCCCGCGGCCUAUCAGCUUGUUGGUGGGGUGAUGGCCUACCAAGGCGACGACGGGUAGCCGGCCUGAGAGGGUGUCCGGCCACACUGGGACUGAGAUACGGCCCAGACUCCUACGGGAGGCAGCAGUGGGGAAUAUUGCACAAUGGGCGCAAGCCUGAUGCAGCGACGCCGCGUGAGGGAUGACGGCCUUCGGGUUGUAAACCUCUUUCGCCAGGGACGAAGCGCAAGUGACGGUACCUGGAGAAGAAGCACCGGCCAACUACGUGCCAGCAGCCGCGGUAAUACGUAGGGUGCGAGCGUUGUCCGGAAUUACUGGGCGUAAAGAGCUCGUAGGUGGUUUGUCGCGUUGUUCGUGAAAACUCACAGCUUAACUGUGGGCGUGCGGGCGAUACGGGCAGACUGGAGUACUGCAGGGGAGACUGGAAUUCCUGGUGUAGCGGUGGAAUGCGCAGAUAUCAGGAGGAACACCGGUGGCGAAGGCGGGUCUCUGGGCAGUAACUGACGCUGAGGAGCGAAAGCGUGGGGAGCGAACAGGAUUAGAUACCCUGGUAGUCCACGCCGUAAACGGUGGGUACUAGGUGUGGGUUUCCUUCCUUGGGAUCCGUGCCGUAGCUAACGCAUUAAGUACCCCGCCUGGGGAGUACGGCCGCAAGGCUAAAACUCAAAGGAAUUGACGGGGGCCCGCACAAGC